rnacentral:sRNA from 1 species
GUGCUCUCAGAAAUCAUGAGAGCUUACCAGAGAGAGGAAGAGAAGAAUAUUUGGUAAAACAAUGCCCAUUUUAUUCCACAAAGUAUUUGAGAUGAACAUAUGGAGUGGUUAGUCAUUGACUACAUGGCUGGAACUGGCAGAUGAGGCUAAAAAGUUAAUUUUAGCCCAUAUUGUGAAAGACCUUGUGGAUCAGGAAUUUAUAUUGCAGUGAGGAGUUGUUCAUUUUUAACAAGGGGAGUGACACAAUCCAAUUUACAUCUUAGAAAACUAACUCUGGUGGUAGUGUGGAGGAGAGAUCAGAGGGGAGGAUUCCCAACUAGGAGAAAAUUAGGAAGCAGUUCAAUUUUCUUAGAUAGUGAAAGAUGAGAAGAGUUGAAAAAAGAGGCUACCAGGAAUGGCCAGAAAGACAGUUAUGAAAUUCUUGGUGUACUAUGCUGGUGAUCUGGCCAAUGUUUUCUUUAUCAUCACAGUGGGAACAGGUCUUUACUGGCUUAUUUUCUUCAAAGCACAGAAGUCUGUCUCUGUUUUACUACCAAUGCCAGUUCAGGAAGAACGUUUUGUCACUUACGUUGGAUGUGCCUUUGCUCUGAAGGCGCUACAAUUUUUGCAUAAGCUCAUAUCCCAGAUUACAGUAGAUAUAUUCUUUAUUGAUUGGGAGCGACCUAAAGGAAAGGUUCUUAAAGCUGUUGAAGGUGAGGGUGGUGUACGAAGUGCCACUGUUCCUGUAAGCAUAUGGAGAACAUAUUUUAUAGCAAAUGAAUGGAAUGAAAUUCAGACUGUGAGAAAAAUUAAUUCACUCUUUCAAGUACUUACUGUCCUCUUCUUUUUGGAGGUUGUGGGAUUCAAGAACUUAGCAUUAAUGGACUCAUCUUCCAGUCUUUCUAGAAGCCCACCUAGCUACAUAGCUCCUUAUAGCCGCAUUUUGAGAUAUGCAGUGUCUGCUGCUCUUUGGCUAGCCAUUGGAAUUAUACAGGUCAUGUUCUUUGCUGUCUUUUAUGAGAGAUUUAUAGAAGAUAAAAUUCGACAGUUUGUUGAUUUGUGCUCUAUGAGUAAUAUAUCAGUGUUUCUGCUAUCCCACAAAUGUUUUGGAUAUUACAUUCAUGGUAGAUCAGUACAUGGGCAUGCAGAUACUAAUAUGGAAGAAAUGAAUAUGAACCUUAAAAGAGAAGCGGAAAAUUUGUGUAGCCAGAGAGGUUUGGUACCCAACACAGAUGGUCAGACUUUUGAGAUUGCGAUUUCUAACCAGAUGAGACAACAUUAUGACAGAAUUCAUGAGACACUAAUAAGGAAAAAUGGUCCUGCUAGACUAUUGAGUUCAUCAGCAAGUACUUUUGAGCAGAGUAUAAAAGCAUAUCAUAUGAUGAAUAAAUUUCUUGGCUCCUUCAUUGACCAUGUUCAUAAGGAAAUGGAUUACUUUAUAAAAGAUAAGUUGCUUCUUGAAAGAAUUCUUGGAAUGGAAUUCAUGGAACCAAUGGAAAAAAGCAUCUUUUACAAUGAUGAAGGUUAUUCUUUCAGCAGUGUCCUGUAUUAUGGAAAUGAAGCUACCCUUCUUAUUUUUGAUCUGCUGUUCUUCUGUGUUGUGGAUUUGGCUUGCCAAAAUUUUAUUUUAGCAUCCUUCCUUACAUAUCUACAACAAGAGAUUUUUAGAUAUAUCCGUAAUACAGUAGGACAAAAGAAUUUGGCAUCCAAAACAUUGGUGGAUCAAAGAUUUUUGAUUUAACUUCCUGAAUAAAUAACUUAAAGACUCAAUAUAAUCAUGGCCAAAAAAAAGUCAUGAUAUCAGGUUAGUUUGCCAUAUUUUUUAAAACUUAUAAUGCAAACUAUUCUGUUUUUGUUUUUUAUUUGCAGAGAGAUUUAUUUGUAUAACUUGGGAAUAUAUAAUGUGAUAUAAUAGAAAAUACUGUUUUCCCAUUGUGUGUGGUAUUUAAUGCAGUAAAUAAUAAAUUAAUACUGACAGUGAGGCC